GCCAACACAAGUCCUCAGAGGCAGCCAAGCAUCCAGUAUCUGGGGCUGCAGGAAGCUGGGAAGAAAGGAUCCAGGGUAAACAUACCUUCCAAGCUGGCCAUUGCUCUAUAACUUUCUUGGCAGCUUCCUGCUUUCUAUAGCAUCCUUUGAAGUUGGGGACUAGAUGACUGGGAAAACCGAGAUGAGUUGAUAGGGAGAAGCUUUGUCAUCUUUGCACUAACCUGGACGUAUUUUGGGUUCACCAGGCAAAAUUGCAAGGGAAGGAGGGCUCAGCCACAGUGAAAAUAAAUUCUCAGCAUUGUGUGACAAUAUAAGGAAUGCCAACAAGAGCUGUAUCAACAACCUUCCUUUGGGGCCAGUGUCUUCAUUCUUACCAGGAUGUAAGAGCAAGAAUGUAUACGAGGAAAUGAAAUGAGCAUAGACCUGGGCAGGAUUCCUUCCGCCCGAUGUCCUGACUUGUCUUUGCAGCCCAGCUUCUUGAUAGCCCUGCAUAACUACCUUCAGUCCCAGUUGUUGGUCUCCGAGAAUGCAGCCAAGCAAAGUAGAUACCUCAUGAGGGCGUAGAAGCAAGUUUACAGGUAAAAUACCUGCUUUUCCUGAGCUGUACAACCUACAGUUCAACCUGUACCACCACCUGUGAUCUGUUCUUUGGCGGGGAUAAGAUAUGCCACCUGCCAUCAAGAAUCUACAUGAUCUGAAAAGGGAACCGCUGAGUGCAUGCCGCUGAAUGACUAAAGGAUGGGGGAGUA
rnacentral:lncRNA from 1 species